rnacentral:ncRNA from 2 species
ACUUCGACCCCUGUUCGUGGUGCCCGUGCAUGGUUUUCCGUGCCGGGUGAAACGGGAAGCCGGUGAGAGCCAAGCCACAAAAGGCUCGAUUCCGGCGCUGCCCCCGCAACGGUAAGGAAGUGCGAGUUCAUCAAUGCGCCACUGGGUUCAACCCGGGAAGGCGAUGAGCUAAAACUUCCAAGCCCGGAGACCGGCCAAGGACAAACCAGCGAA